CAAAAGGAGGCAAAAGCAAGAGUUAUUGGAUAGGCUUCUCAUGAAAGUUCCACAAAAAGAAAAAGAUUCCAUUGAGCCGGUAGAUAGCAGUGAUUUCCUUUGUGAUAGUGAAAGUCAUCCUACACAAUAACCCUCCUCUUUCUUGUCUCCCUCACACUAGCUACAAAGGUUGUCAAAGCUCAAAACAUUUACUAUGCCAGGAUGCCAUAUUUCGGAGUAGCAUGUCCUGAACCCUGUCACCUGCCUCUGGCCUGGAAGGGGCAUUAAGGACUGUUCUGCUGUGCAUUUGCAGAGAAAGGCUUUCUGGAGAUGAGAGAUGCUGGGGGCUGCAGGAGAGCCUGGAGGCUGAAGCACUUUUCUUUGUUCAGGACCUCACCAGGGGAGUGAGGCAGUCUCGCUUCAACUCAGCUUCCUGUGCUGUGCUUCCAGUUGAUCUGUG